UACGUAGGGUGCAAGCGUUAAUCGGAAUUACUGGGCGUAAAGCGUGCGCAGGCGGUUGUGCAAGACAGAUGUGAAAUCCCCGGGCUUAACCUGGGAACUGCAUUUGUGACUGCACGGCUAGAGUUUGGCAGAGGGGGGUAGAAUUCCACGUGUAGCAGUGAAAUGCGUAGAGAUGUGGAGGAAUACCGAUGGCGAAGGCAGCCCCCUGGGUCAAGACUGACGCUCAUGCACGAAAGCGUGGGGAGCAAACAGG
rnacentral:rRNA from 1 species